UACGUAGGGGGCGAGCGUUGUCCGGAAUCAUUGGGCGUAAAGCGCGUGUAGGCGGCCCGGUAAGUCCGCUGUGAAAGUCCAGGGCUCAACCCUGGGAUGCCGGUGGAUACUGUCGGGCUCGAGUCCGGAAGAGGCGAGUGGAAUUCCUGGUGUAGCGGUGAAAUGCGCAGAUAUCGGGAGGAACACCAAUGGCGAAGGCAGCUCGCUGGGACGGUACUGACGCUGAGACGCGAAAGCGUGGGGAGCAAACAGG
rnacentral:rRNA from 1 species